rnacentral:rRNA from 1 species
UGAGCGAUAAGGUCCAUUGUCGAAAGGGGAACAGCCCAGAUCACCAGUUAAGGUCCCUAAAUUUAUGCUAAGUGGAAAAGGAUGUGGCGUUGCACAGACAACUAGGAUGUUGGCUCAGAAGCAGCCACCAUUUAAAGAGUGCGUAAUAGCUCACUAGUCGAGUGGCACUGCGCCGAAAAUAUACCGGGGCUAAGCAUAAUACCGAAACUGUGGGUGCACCCGUCAGGGUGCGCGGUAGGAGAGCGUUCUAAGGGCGUUGAAGGUCGAUCGUGAGGACGGCUGGAGCGCUUAGAAGUGAGAAUGCCGGCAUGAGUAGCGAAAGAUCAGUGAGAAUCUGAUCCACCGUAUGACUAAGGUUUCCUGGGGAAGGCUCGUCCUCCCAGGGUUAGUCGGGAUCUAAGGCGAGGCCGCAAGGCGUAGUCGAUGACAAGCAGGUUGAGAUUCCUGCACUAGUUUAUUUUGUUUAAGCGAUGGAGGGACGCAGGAGGCUAAGGAAAGCGCACGGCUGGAAAAGUGCGUCCAAGCAGUAAGUCCGGUAGCGAGUGAAAUGCUUGCCGCCUUAAGGACAAGCUGUGAUGGGGAGCGAAAUUAAAGUAGCGAAGUUCCUGAUGUCACACUGCCAAGAAAAGCUUCUAGUGAGAAAUAAACUACCCGUACCGCAAACCGACACAGGUAGUCGAGGAGAGUAUCCUCAGGUGAGCGAGCGAACUCUCGUUAAGGAACUCGGCAAAAUGACCCCGUAACUUCGGAAGAAGGGGUGCUGACCGCAAGGUCAGCCGCAGUGAAUAGGCCCAAACAACUGUUUAUCAAAAACACAGGUCUCUGCUAAAUCGUAAGAUGAUGUAUAGGGGCUGACGCCUGCCCGGUGCUGGAAGGUUAAGAGGAUGAGUUAGCGCAAGCGAAGCCCAGAAUUGAAGCCCCAGUAAACGGCGGCCGUAACUAUAACGGUCCUAAGGUAGCGAAAUUCCUUGUCGGGUAAGUUCCGACCCGCACGAAAGGCGUAAUGAUUUGGGCACUGUCUCAACGAGAGACUCGGUGAAAUUAUAGUACCCGUGAAGAUGCGGGUUACCCGCGACAGGACGGAAAGACCCCAUGGAGCUUUACUGUAGCUUGAUAUUGAGUGUUGGUACCGCUUGUACAGGAUAGGUAGGAGCCGUAGAGAUCGGAACGCUAGUUUCGAUGGAGGCAUUGGUGGGAUACUACCCUAGCUGUAUGAACACUCUAACCCGCGCCACUAAUCGUGGCGGGAGACAGUGUCAGGUAGGCAGUUUGACUGGGGCGGUCGCCUCCUAAAAUGUAACGGAGGCGCCCAAAGGUUCCCUCAGAAUGGUUGGAAAUCAUUCGCAGAGUGUAAAGGUAGAAGGGAGCUUGACUGCGAGACUGACAAGUCGAGCAGGGACGAAAGUCGGGCUUAGUGAUCCGGUGGUUCCGUAUGGAAGGGCCAUCGCUCAACGGAUAAAAGCUACCCUGGGGAUAACAGGCUUAUCUCCCCCAAGAGUCCACAUCGACGGGGAGGUUUGGCACCUCGAUGUCGGCUCAUCGCAUCCUGGGGCUGUAGUCGGUCCCAAGGGUUGGGCUGUUCGCCCAUUAAAGCGGUACGCGAGCUGGGUUCAGAANNNNNNNNNNNNNNNNNNNNNNNNNNNNNNNNNNNNNNNNNNNNNNNNNNNNNNNNNNNNNNNNNNNNNNNNNNNNNNNNNNNGUAAGACCCCUGAAAGAUGAUCAGGUAGAUAGGCUGGAAGUGGAAGUGCAGCGAUGCAUGGAGCGGACCAGUACUAAUCGGUCGAGGACUUAACCAA